rnacentral:tRNA from 1 species
GCCCAAGUGGUGGAAUUGGUAGACACGCAGGAUUCAGGUUCCUGUGCCCUAACCCGGUGUGGGAGUUCAAAUCUCCCCUUGGGCA